rnacentral:rRNA from 1 species
UACAGAGGGUGCGAGCGUUAAUCGGAAUUACUGGGCGUAAAGCGUGCGUAGACGGUUAUUUAAGUCGGAUGUGAAAGCCCCGGGCUCAACCUGGGAAUUGCAUUCGAGACUGAAUAGCUAGGGUGCGGUAGAGGGAAGCGGAAUUUCCGGUGUAGCGGUGAAAUGCGUAGAUAUCGGAAGGAACAUCAGUGGCGAAAGCGGCUUCCUGGACCAGCACCGACGUUCAGGCACGAAAGCGUGGGGAGCAAACAG